AACGCUAGCUACAGGCUUAACACAUGCAAGUCGAGGGGCAGCAUGAACUUAGCUUGCUAAGUUUGAUGGCGACCGGCGCACGGGUGAGUAACGCGUAUCCAACCUUCCGUACACUCAGGAAUAGCCUUUCGAAAGAAAGAUUAAUACCUGAUGGUAUGAUGAGAUUGCAUGAAAUCAUCAUUAAAGAUUCAUCGGUGUACGAUGGGGAUGCGUUCCAUUAGAUAGUAGGCGGGGUAACGGCCCACCUAGUCAACGAUGGAUAGGGGUUCUGAGAGGAAGGUCCCCCACAUUGGAACUGAGACACGGUCCAAACUCCUACGGGAGGCAGCAGUGAGGAAUAUUGGUCAAUGGGCGCGAGCCUGAACCAGCCAAGUAGCGUGAAGGAUGAAGGUCCUACGGAUUGUAAACUUCUUUUAUAAGGGAAUAAAGUCACCCACGUGUGGGUGUUUGUAUGUACCUUAUGAAUAAGCAUCGGCUAACUCCGUGCCAGCAGCCGCGGUAAUACGGAGGAUGCGAGCGUUAUCCGGAUUUAUUGGGUUUAAAGGGAGCGUAGACGGGUCGUUAAGUCAGCUGUGAAAGUUUGGGGCUCAACCUUAAAAUUGCAGUUGAUACUGGCGUCCUUGAGUACGGUUGAGGCAGGCGGAAUUCGUGGUGUAGCGGUGAAAUGCUUAGAUAUCACGAAGAACUCCGAUUG
rnacentral:rRNA from 1 species